AGCAGCCGCGGUAAUUCCAGCUCCAAUAGCGUAUAUUAAAGUUGUUGCAGUUAAAAAGCUCGUAGUUGAAUUUCGGGAUUAGUACGUUGGUCGUGCCUUAGGUACGUACUGGUGUUACUGGUUCCUACCUUCUGACGAACCAUCAUGUCAUUAAUUUGGUGUGGCGGGGAAUCAGGACUGUUACUUUGAAAAAUUAGAGUGUUUAAAGCAGGCUCGCGCUUGAAUACAUUAGCAUGGAAUAAUGAAAUAGGACGUUGACCCUAUUUUGUUGGUUUCUAGGAUUGACGUAGUGAUUAAUAGGGAUAGUUGGGGGCAUUAGUAUUCAAUUGUCAGAGGUGAAAUUCUUGGAUUUAUUGAAGACUAACUACUGCGAAAGCAUUUGCCAAGGAUGUUUUCAUUAAUCAAGAACGAAAGUUAGGGGAUCGAAGACGAUCAGAUACCGUCGUAGUCUUAACCAUAAACUAUGCCGACUAGGGGAUCGGGAUGAUGUUAAUUUUUAAUGACUCAUUCGGCGCCUUAC
rnacentral:rRNA from 1 species